UACGUAGGGGGCGAGCGUUAUCCGGAAUUACUGGGCGUAAAGCGCACGCAGGCGGUUCGCCAAGUUUGGAGUGACAGUUGUCGGCUCAACCGACAAAGGACUUCAAAAACUGGUGAACUUGAGGACGAGAGAGGAACAUGGAGCUCCAGGUGUAGUAGUGAAAUGCGUAGAUAUCUGGAAGAACACCAAUGGCGAAGGCAAUGUUCUGGCUCGUUUCUGACGCUCAGGUGCGAAAGCCAGGGGAGCGAACGGG
rnacentral:rRNA from 1 species